CCUACGGGGGGCAGCAGUAGGGAAUUUUCGGCAAUGGGGGGAACCCUGACCGAGCAACGCCGCGUGAACGAAGAAGUUAUUCGUAAUGUAAAGUUCUUUUAUCAGGGAAGAAAGAGGAAUUUGACGGUACCUGAGGAAUAAGCUCCGGCUAACUACGUGCCAGCAGCCGCGGUAAUACGUAGGGAGCGAGCGUUAUCCGGAUUUACUGGGUGUAAAGGGCGUGUAGGCGGGAAUGCAAGUCAGAUGUGAAAACUAUGGGCUCAACCCAUAGCCUGCAUUUGAAACUGUAUUUCUUGAGUGCUGGG
rnacentral:rRNA from 1 species